rnacentral:rRNA from 1 species
CAGCCGCCGCGGUAAUACCGGCGGCCCGAGUGGCGGCCACUAUUAUUGGGCUUAAAGCGUCCGUAGCCGGGUUGGUUAGUCUCCCGGGAAAUCUGGCCGCUUAACGGUCAGAAUUCCGGGAGAUACUGCCAGCCUAGGGACCGGGAGAGGCCGAGGGUAUUCCCGGAGUAGGGGUGAAAUCCUAUAAUCCCAGGGGGACCGCCAGUGGCGAAGGCGCCCCGCUGGAACGGGUCCGACGGUGAGGGACGAAGGCCAGGGGAGCAAACCGGAUUAGAUACCCGGGUAGUCCUGGCUGUAAAGGAUGCGGGCUAGGUGUCGGGUGAGCUUCGGGCUCGCCCGGUGCCGUAGGGAAGCCGUUAAGCCCGCCGCCUGGGGAGUACGGCCGCAAGGCUGAAACUUAAAGGAAUUGGCGGG